GAAAAGAGAGAGCUGGAUGAAAAGGGAGGAAGAGAGGAAUGGAGAAAACGAAACGAGGAGAAGAGGAGGGGGUAAAAGUAGGGCGAAAAAGGGAUGAAGCGGCAAGGAGUCGUCCGAUCGUGUCUCGCCCCCUACAAGAGAUAGAAGAGAAAGAAAGAGAGAAAGAGAGAGCAAAGUAUCGAUUCGGCUAGAAAGGACUGUCGUCUGAUGGCAACGACCCUCUCGAUCAUAGUCGAGUCGAAAGCGCGAGAUGAUGUAUUUUUCAGCAUAUCGACACCGCCCGGUUAUUCCCGAUGACACCCGAACGAACGACGAUUCGACGUUGGUCGUCGUCGCCGUUGCUGCCGCGGUGGCGUUUCGCUUCUUUUUCGAGGAAUCCGUUGUGCGUACACGGCUCGUCGUAUCGGAAGGUUCGUAGGAAUGUACGCGGCGAACGAUGAAGACUCGAUUCGCUACAGAUAUAUUAUAUAUAUAUAUAUAUAUAUAUAUGAAGGAUAAAAUAAAAUGAUAUAGCAUCAAGGAAGGUGGAAAACGCAGGCAAGGAUGGUGCGGUGCGUUGUCCAGCGGGUUUCACGAGGGGUAGCCUCUAGUCUCUCCGCUGCGGAUGAAUUCCCGCAUAUCAUUUCGGUCGACUGAUAAAAAGGCUUGGAGGCUGGCUCGUCGCAAUGGACGACGAGGCGUAUACGGACAAAAAAGCCGCUGGGAGGGGAAGAGACUCGGAGGUCGGAUACACAUACAUAUAAAGACACACAUGAAGCACGCAGUAGAUAUAUAAGCACAGAGAAGGCAAAAGGGGAGAGGGAGAAGUAGAGAGAGAGAGAGAGAGAGAGAGAAAGAGAGAGAGAGUGAGCGAGGACGAAGCGACCGAGCGGAGAGCGUAGCUCGAGCUUGGCUGCUAAGGGGUGUAGAGACGGUGAGAGGGAUACGACGCGCUUGCCGUUGGAAGACGGGGCGGAGGGGUGCAGACGUGCACGUAAACGACGUGAAUCCGGGUAAAGGGGAGCGUCACCACCAUCGCCACUGCCACUAACGCCGUCCUCGCUGCUCUGCCGUCGCGAUGAUUUGACUCUUCUGACUCUGACUCUUUCUCCUUCUCUCCCUCCCUCUCUCUCUCUCUCUCUCUCUCUCUCUCUCUCUCUCUACCUCUCUCUUUCUCUCUCGUCAUUGUCGUUCGUGUCCUUCGUUUAGCUCUAGCAAGCCUCUAGCGUGCUGAUUCUAGCUUGACGCUCGUGUGCGCACUCUAAGAAACUCGAUGUGCAGUCGUAUGCGCCCACUGCCAGGGCUGUAUCAUUUUCCUCUGUUACGAGCAUUCUUUGCUCUCUUUUUCUCUCGUAUAAAGAAAAAUAGGCAUGUUCUUUGCUUUAAUCUCUCCGUUGACAAAAAAAAAGAGGAAAAGUUCCAUCCUGACGAAUGUAACGAGUUUCCUUUUGUAGAAAAUUCAUUAGGAUGUAGAAAAGAUCCGUAUGAUUACUCAUAAAUGAUAUGACAUUUCGAAUAGAUUUAUGUAAUAAGAUAUUAUGGUCAUAAUUAAUUCUUCGAAAUCUUUUUUUUUAUCGUAAGUAGUUAGGAGCGAGAUUGAAAGAAGGAAAAGGAUUGGAAGUGUCGCGACAUCGACUGAUCCCCGGAUCCUCGAUGUGGCCUCAAACGGUGGUAUCUAGGGAGCUUAGAGAUCCAAUGGAAGCCAAGUCUCGUAGAAGGGAUACUAGAGUAGGAGGUGGCAGUUAUGGCGCCUGCCGUUUGCGAGGAAGAAGAAGAGAAGAAGAAAGAGAAGAGAGAGACCGAGUCGAAGAGUACUACACGUGUCGCGGCGGCGGGGUGUUGACCCCAAAUAGCUUUUUUAACGUGACGUAACUGAGAAAGGGUUGAGAAAUGGCCAAGUGCUUGAGCUCGACGCGAACCGAAUGACUUUUCGAACGAACUCUAAGCUAAGCGUCUUUGAGAACUCUUCAUGUUUUUGAAUUAAACGAUGAUAGUGAUUUACGUUGCUUGAUAAAAAAAAAAAAAAAAUAAAUAAAUAAAUAAAUAAAUAAAUAAAAGAA